rnacentral:rRNA from 1 species
UACAGAGGGAGCAAGCGUUAUUCGGAAUUAUUGGGCGUAAAGGGCGCGUAGGCGGCUUGGCAAGUGGAAGGUGAAAUCCCUCGGCUUAACCGAGGAACUGCCUUCCAGACUGUUAGGCUUGAGACCGGGAGAGGUGAGUGGAAUUCCCAGUGUAGCGGUGAAAUGCGUAGAUAUUGGGAGGAACACCAGUGGCGAAGGCGGCUCACUGGACCGGUACUGACGCUGAGGCGCGAAAGCGUGGGGAGCAAACGGG